GUAAGGGUGAAAUACAGAAAGCGUUGGGCCACCUACCAGCAAAAGUUUCCACAGGGCGCGGGCCACUCCUUAGCUAGCCGGGGCCGCGCCUCCAGGACCUUAGUCCCGAAAAUGAACGCCGCAGGGUCGACUGGUCGGGGCGCACGAAGCAUCAGCUCGGCCUUGUGGCCGGACCGGGUGUCUCGGAAGGCGGGCUGAUCCCAGGCCAGUCCGCGGGAUUAGGAGUGGUCACCCUAAACCAGGAGAGGGCAGGGUGGGAGUGUGCGCGGCGUCGCGAUGCAGACUCAUCCGGAGGUCUCAGCACCCGAAAAUGUGGAGGUGCCCUCAGCCCUGCUUCCUCCCCCGGUGAUAAAUACACUUCGCCCCGCGGCUCAGCAGAGGAGAGAUGGAUUUGCGCGUCUGAAGCCACAGGCUCGGCUUUAAAACCGCGAAGGGAGCUCACCUCCCCCGCCCCGCCUCCCCCUCCUUGGCCACCUCGCCGCGCUCCCUUCGCCUUUCUCGCCUCCGGAA
rnacentral:lncRNA from 1 species